CCAUUCUGAGCAAAGACCUGUUGUUUUCCAGAUCUUGCCUGAAAACCCAUGCAGUAUUCAACAGGCCACUUAGUUUAUCUUUCUUGGAUAAACAAAAGGCUGCUGGAAUUUGAAACUUGUUCCAAGAGUCUAGGGUCCAAAGCCUGCUGAAAUCCGAAGGUACUGCCCAGGGAGGGGUCCCGGUCCAGCGCAGAGAAGGACACCUGGAGGGUCCACCAAGGCCCAGCCGCAGCAGUAAAACCUAAGGCCGGGACAAAGACGGAGAAGUGGGAAGAAUAUACCUGCUCCAAGUCACUUCGGAGGCGGCUGCUGACGUGCCGGAGGUGGGAGAGUGACGCUUUGCUCCGCAGGUGACGCCCUCGCGCCCGUGCUCGCGGCCGUUACCAGGGCCUCGCGCGCCGUGGCGGCGCAUGGAGCUGGCUGCCCGCAGGGCCGGCUCUGAAAGCUCUGGCGGCGGCUGUUCGAUGAAGGGCCGGAAAGCGUGUGGUCUUCUGCAGAAGCAGUAAGCCAUGCAAAUCGUAGUGAUCCCGAUCCCAGAUGUCAUUGAUUCUUCUUCUGGGAUGUAUAAGUAAUUCGUAUCCAGAAGAAUACGUAGUCUGUUGCAGGGCUUAACCAGGUGUGACACAUGUGACACAUGCCAAAUCACCACCAGACCUUACAGGAAAUGUUGUGCUCACAGAUAGGCUGACACAGUUCAGGGAACUGUUCGUGAAAAAGAACUGCCAGAAGACGCAAUAAGUAUUAUCCUUAUUUUGAACUUUCGGACUAAUUUGCCACUCAUUUAUUUUAAGUGUUCUGUUUAAUAUCUCUAAAUGUAAGUUGUUAAUUAGUUAUUGGUGGUGAAUUUGGGUUUGUGAGAUAGCCCUGUGACAGAGCUGAUUUCAUUAAGUUAACAAGUUAGUUGGAAUAGCUGAGUCUGUUUGUUGUUGUAGCCUGCUCCUGCAGAGGCAAUGAAGAAACAUUUCCGUUAGCACUGGGAAAUUCAGGGAUAACAUGAAGCUUAAUGAAGUGCAACAGGAUUGCAUU
rnacentral:lncRNA from 1 species